UUUUGUGGAGGGUUCGAUUCUGGCUCAGGAUGAACGCUGGCGGCGUGCUUAACACAUGCAAGUCGAACGGGAUCCAUCAGGCUUUGCUUGGUGGUGAGAGUGGCGAACGGGUGAGUAAUGCGUGACCGACCUGCCCCAUACACCGGAAUAGCUCCUGGAAACGGGUGGUAAUGCCGGAUGCUCCAGUUGAUCGCAUGGUCUUCUGGGAAAGCUUUCGCGGUAUGGGAUGGGGUCGCGUCCUAUCAGCUUGACGGCGGGGUAACGGCCCACCGUGGCUUCGACGGGUAGCCGGCCUGAGAGGGCGACCGGCCACAUUGGGACUGAGAUACGGCCCAGACUCCUACGGGAGGCAGCAGUGGGGAAUAUUGCACAAUGGGCGCAAGCCUGAUGCAGCGACGCCGCGUGAGGGAUGGAGGCCUUCGGGUUGUAAACCUCUUUUAUCGGGGAGCAAGCGAGAGUGAGUUUACCCGUUGAAUAAGCACCGGCUAACUACGUGCCAGCAGCCGCGGUAAUACGUAGGGUGCAAGCGUUAUCCGGAAUUAUUGGGCGUAAAGGGCUCGUAGGCGGUUCG
rnacentral:rRNA from 1 species